UCAAGAUCCUAAAAUGAGAAAAACAACACAACAAUAGAAAAAAAUAGAGUUUCAUCGGCAAAGUCUCCAAAGAAGUACCAAAAAUAACAUCAACAACAAUACUAUAUUUUAAAGAAGAGAGCAAGAAUGAAAAAUGGACGUACAAACACAGAUUGUGGAAAAGAACAAGGAAACACAAAAUAGAACAAACGACUGCCACAAUGUCGACAAAAGACGAGGGAAAGAAAUAUCUAAAAUGAGACACAAAAAGGGCAAGUGCAGAACAAUAAUAACAACAAAGAAAGACAACAAGGCUCAGCCUCUAACAACUCUUUCAAUGUCCUUUGAAUGAAAGAAGACCAAGUGAAAAUGAGAACAACUGAUAUAAAUGUAGCCAAAAGAAUCUCUCCAGGUGAAGCAAGAAAAAUCAAUCAAGCCUCAAAAAGUUAGAAAAAUGCCACAAGAUGGAGUAAAGCACACAAAAAAAAGAGAAAAAUGUGAAAAAGAAAGCCAAUGCUCUCAAUAUUAGGAAGAAUAGAAUUGCUAUUGUAGCUGGUUUCAGUAAUAUUGAUGAAACCAUACAAGGGGAAAUAGUUAAUAUUAUCAUAAAAGAUCAAAAUAACAUUGAAGAAGUUCGAAACAAGAAAGAAAAGUUUGGGCAACUG
rnacentral:lncRNA from 1 species